rnacentral:tRNA from 1 species
UCCCAAGUGGCUCAGUGUUAAAGAUUCUGCCUGCCAAGCAGGAAACAUGAGUUCAAUCCCUGGCUUGGGAA